rnacentral:rRNA from 1 species
AACGAACGCUGGCGGCAUGCCUAACACAUGCAAGUCGAACGAGACCUUCGGGUCUAGUGGCGCACGGGUGCGUAACGCGUGGGAACCUGCCCUUAGGUUCGGAAUAACUCCCCGAAAGGGGUGCUAAUACCGGAUAAUGUCUUCGGACCAAAGAUUUAUCGCCUUUGGAUGGGCCCGCGUUGGAUUAGCUAGUUGGUAGGGUAAAAGCCUACCAAGGCGACGAUCCAUAGCUGGUCUGAGAGGAUGAUCAGCCACACUGGGACUGAGACACGGCCCAGACACCUACGGGAGGCAGCAGUGGGGAAUAUUGGACAAUGGGCGAAAGCCUGAUCCAGCAAUGCCGCGUGAGUGAUGAAGGCCUUAGGGUUGUAAAGCUCUUUUACCCGGGAUGAUAAUGACAGUACCGGGAGAAUAAGCGCCGGCUAACUCCGUG